GUUUAGGAAAUUGUGUCAGAAUACAGUAAACACGAAAAAAUAUUAUUAGAGCAAACAAUAUGAGGAAGAAGAUGCAUAAUGUUCGCCUGUUAAUUUCAACGAACUUUUCUACUGCUACAUACUGUUGAUUGUACUAGGAGGAAUGUACGAUUAUACUUUGGACAAUUAUUGAUUCAUAUUCAUUCUAGUGUCAGUGGGAUAACUCAAGGGCUCGUCCUCGAGUAUCCUCCCUUGUCAGGUAUCC